CAGUAAGUAGUUUAAUUUAAAAUAUUAAUUUUGGAGAUUAAUGAUGAGCUUUACCUUUUUACUGA
rnacentral:tRNA from 1 species